GACAGAGGGUGCGAACGUUGCUCGGAAUUACUGGGCGUAAAGCGCGUGUAGGCGGACUGGUAAGUCGGACGUGAAAUCCCUGGGCUCAACCCAGGAACUGCAUCCGAAACUAUCAGUCUGGAGUGGUGGAGAGGAAAGCAGAAUUCCUGGUGUAGAGGUGAAAUUCGUAGAUAUCAGGAGGAAUACCGAUGGCGAAGGCAGGUCUCUGGGCUGACACUGACGCUCAUGCACGAAAGCGUGGGGAGCAAACAGG
rnacentral:rRNA from 1 species